GACACGACUSUCGGCAAUGGAUAUCUCGGCUCUCGCAUCGAUGAAGAGCGCAGCGAAAUGCGAUACGUGGUGCGAAUUGCAGAAUCCCGCGAAC
rnacentral:rRNA from 1 species